ACAUGCAAGUCGAACGGAAACAUGUCUAGCUUGCUAGAUGAUGUCGAGUGGCGGACGGGUGAGUAAUGCUUGGGAACUUGCCUUUGCGAGGGGGAUAACAGUUGGAAACGACUGCUAAUACCGCAUAAUGUCUACGGACCAAACGGGGCUUAGGCUCCGGCGCAAAGAGAGGCCCAAGUGAGAUUAGCUAGUUGGUGAGGUAAAGGCUCACCAAGGCAACGAUCUCUAGCUGUUCUGAGAGGAAGAUCAGCCACACUGGGACUGAGACACGGCCCAGACUCCUACGGGAGGCAGCAGUGGGGAAUAUUGCACAAUGGGGGAAACCCUGAUGCAGCCAUGCCGCGUGUGUGAAGAAGGCCUUCGGGUUGUAAAGCACUUUCAGUUGUGAGGAAAAGUUAGUAGUUAAUACCUGCUAGCCGUGACGUUAACAACAGAAGAAGCACCGGCUAACUCCGUGCCAGCAGCCGCGGUAAUACGGAGGGUGCGAGCGUUAAUCGGAAUUACUGGGCGUAAAGCGCACGCAGGCGGUUUGUUAAGCUAGAUGUGAAAGCCCCGGGCUCAACCUGGGACGGUCAUUUAGAACUGGCAGACUAGAGUCUUGGAGAGGGGAGUGGAAUUCCAGGUGUAGCGGUGAAAUGCGUAGAUAUCUG
rnacentral:rRNA from 1 species